UCUGCUCCAACCCCUCCCAUCUGAGAGUGCUGGACCUGAGCUACAAUCAUCCAGGAGACUCAGGAACAUAAUAGGAGAAGAAGAUAUUCAUCUUGACCGGACAAGCGGUCGAUACAUCCCGGCUGCUGCCCGGUGUCCUGUCCUGGAAAUGUCUCUGGAGAAAAGGAACAUUGUUCAUGGCGGCGAGCUGAAGGAGAGCUGCACCAAGGUAGCCACAGUUAGCCACACUGGCUGGACUGGAAACAGGGAAGUUACCUUCAAAAUAAAAGAGCAACACAAAGGGUGAGUAAGGUUUAUAAAUACUCACAAUGGACAGGGCCGUCCAAACCCAGUUUACUAUGCAAGAGUUUGGUACAGAUACAUUUCCAUGACAUGAAUUCAAGUUACUUUUCAUUCACGUUAACUGAUUAAAAUAAAUAAUCUAAAUAGUUGCUGAUUAAUGUUCUAUGUAUUAACUAAUAGGGGUGGGAAUCACCUCACUAUAUGACUGAUGUCACGAUACGAUGUUAUUGCGGUUUUAAACAUAUUGCAAUAUCCUGCAAUUUAUUACAAUUUAUUACCUUUUUUUCCAACUUCAAAUUUUUUCGAAUUUCAAAUGAUGCCCCCAAAAUGAAACUUUGUCAACAUCUGUUUUAUCUAAAAAGAUACAUUUCUCUGUUUCUUCUCACUUAAAUUUUAUUGCUACAAAAUGUGAUUGUCAAGCAGACAAACUGACCAACAGAUAUAUAAUAAUAGAUCAAUAUUCAGUGUCUAUGUAUUGAUACAGUAUCGCCACUAAAAAUAUCGCAAUACUUUGAUGUAUUGAUUUUUUCCCCGACCCCUGAUAACUAGUUGUUUGUGUUUUUUGACCAUCAAAAGAGUAGAUGUUUUAUUCUAUGUAUAUCAAAAACGACUGCCUGCUGAAAUAGCACUGCACCUGACGUGAAGACGCAGCAAUACAGUUUUAAUUUCACCAAAUCCACUUGUCUGUGUAAAGAUAUUUGUCAAUAAAUAAUAAUAAAUUUGUGAAUUUCGGCUUUA